AUAGGUUAGGUUUAUAGUAGGGUAUUUAGUUUGUAUAAUUUAGCUUUUUAUGCUGGUCUAGGGACAGUUUAGUUAGCAAAUUAAUUUAGUUCAAAUCACUUACAGUUGCAUAUUAUUGUUACAAUUGUGUUAUUUUGUGAGUUAUUGUUAUACAGGCUAUUGUAUAUUGCAGGACCAAGUGAGACGAGGAAGACCACUGCUUCCAAGAUGCCUCUCAGAAAGUGCGUUGGACAAGUCUCGACCUUGCAGAUCCUGCCCCACUUAGCCCAACCACUUCCGACCAUGGGGUACCUCAAAGACCUCCGUCAACCAGCCGGCUGUGGAUGAUGGAUAACGGACCCACAACUCCUUCUCCAGUCUGCAAGGUUCUGAAAAUACAGAUACCCCCACAGUCCAAGAACAGCUGGAUGACCUCUGGACCCACAUGCCCCCGUUCACCAGUUGAAAAGAUAAGCUUUUUAAAAAAUUCUUCAAUUGUUAAUUCUGCACAAAGUGAUACACAAAACAUUGUCUGUAUUCCAUUUCAACAAAAACAAACAUGAAAUGUAUAUUUAAAUACAUGACUUAAUGCAAGUCAAUCAUAUUAAACAUCAUCUUUUUUUUUUUUUUAAACCAA